AGGUGGGCCUUAUGCCGGAGCCGCAUCCUAUUGCGUUACUAUUGGCAGUAGGCAACCGCUUUGUUACUUUAUUGGAGAGAGUGGAUGUCCAUCAGGGUCACGCUUGCCGGGCAACGAGAGGCAAAACAAGAGGGAAGACGACUUUCCUCCCGUGAGCCAAUGGGGCCAGCUGGGAUACUCGGAGACCCCUGGGAGAGGCACGGGGCUCGCCUGUUCCGCGGAACGCCGGGAAGGGGUCACCUCCAGAUGAAGUUUCCGGUUCCGGUGUUAGCGGCGGUCGAAUUGUCAUGGCAACGCGGUUGGCUGGCGCGUGGUGCGGGUCUCUCGGGAGGUAGCGUGACUAGGCCAGGCCGGUAUCUGCCUCUCCCAGCUUAGAUUGAUUGAUUCGAGGUAAAUCAGAGGAACAAGCAACAUGAACAGAAAUAUAUAGAAAAUGCUAUUAUGCCGAAGCGUAAUUGUUUCAGAAGUCCGGUAUCUGGUGCACUUAACAAUAGAGAAUGUAUUAAAUUCUUUCCAAAAUAACCUUUCA